UCCGAGUUGACCCCGGCAGUCUCCUAUGAGUCCCCACCAUCCCGAAGGACGUGCUGGCAACAUAGAACGAGGGUUGCGCUCGUUGCGGGACUUAACCCAACAUCUCACGACACGAGCUGACGACAGCCAUGCACCACCUGUAUACCGACCACAAGGGGGGCAGUAUCUCUACGGCUUUCCGGUAUAUGUCAAACCCAGGUAAGGUUCUUCGCGUUGCAUCGAAUUAAUCCACAUGCUCCGCCGCUUGUGCGGGUCCCCGUCAAUUCCUUUGAGUUUUAGCCUUGCGGCCGUACUCCCCAGGCGGUCAACUUCACGCGUUAGCUUCGUUACCAAGGAAUUACUUCCCCAACAACCAGUUGACAUCGUUUAGGGCGUGGACUAC
rnacentral:misc_RNA from 1 species